UACGUAGGGGGCAAGCGUUGUCCGGAAUCAUUGGGCGUAAAGAGCGCGUAGGCGGCCCAGUAAGUCCGCUCUGAAAGUCAGGGGCUCAACCCCUGAAUGCGGGUGGAUACUGCUGGGCUAGAGUCCGGAAGAGGCGAGUGGAAUUCCUGGUGUAGCGGUGAAAUGCGCAGAUAUCAGGAGGAACACAAAUGGCGAAGGCAGCUCGCUGGGACGGUACGGACGCUGAGGCGCGAAAGCGUGGGGAGCAAACAGG
rnacentral:rRNA from 1 species